rnacentral:rRNA from 1 species
UACGUAGGUGGCAAGCGUUGUCCGGAUUUAUUGGGUUUAAAGGGUGCGUAGGCGGCCCUGUAAGUCAGUGCUGAAAUAUCCCAGCUUAACUGGGAGGGUGGCAUUGAUACUGCGGGGCUAGAGUACAGAUGAGGUAGGCGGAAUUGACGGUGUAGCGGUGAAAUGCUUAGAUAUCGUCAAGAACACCUAUAGCGAAGGCAGCUUACUAGGCUGUAACUGACGCUGAGGCACGAAAGUGUGGGGAGCGAACCGG